UCCAUUAGCACUGAUUAGUUUAUCUGAAGAUUGGCUUUCCGUUUAUUUCUUGUCUAGCAGAGAAGAAAAAAAUGGAAAAAAUAAAAUUACAGAGUCAGAAAAUUAGGUUGUUAGGAGCGGAUAAAGAUAAGGGCCAAAGCUUAAUAGUACCAAAGAAUCUUUUAUUUUAAUUGAUUUUUUUUUUUUUUUUUUUUUUUUUAGCAUCUUCUUUUUACAGGUGAGGUAAGGUGAAUCUUGCAGAGGGUAAGUGUCUCACCUGAGGUCAUGCAGCUUGGAAUGGAAGAGCUGGGAUUAUAGCCUGAUUCUAAACUAGGCAACACAUUUAAAUGUGUUAUAUAGGAAAUGAUCAAUAAACACUAAUUUUUCUUUCCUUCUCAAUCUAGUGCUGGAGCAGAGGUACUGAAUGAGGAAACGGAGUCUUGGGAUACCUUUGGAGGGAUCCACAGUUAAUGGACUGGCUGCCAUAAUUGGUCUGAGACACUGGUGCAAGCAUGGAGAUGACGACACAAAUACUAUCCAGAGGGAUGACCAGGUGAAGAAUGGCCAGGUGAAGACACAAAAAGAAGACUCCCAUCUACAAGCCAAGGAGAGAGGCCUCAGAAGAAACCAACCCUCACAACUCCUUGAUCUCACAUGUUCAGCCUCCAGACAGCGUGGAAAUAAGUUUCUGUUGUUUAAGCCCCCCAGCCUGGGAUACUUCGUUACGACAACCUGAGCAGAUGGACACAAUUUUUUUUUUAUCAGGGACAAACAGACAUUUGUGAAUAUUCAAAUUAGAAUUCUCAGACAUGAGCAAAAUAUACUGGAAAAAAAUAUAUCUAUUAGGAUUUCCCACAAGGCAGAUCUGCGGCAGAGGCAGGGGGAGUGGCCAACUUUAAAGACCCUGUAGGCAUCUCCAAACUGCGUUAUGCAUUGAGCAGCUUUUCAGGGUAAGCCUAGAAUGAGAUCAAAAUAAUCCUGCCAGAUGACCUGAUGGGCCAGUGGAAUGUGGGAAUCUUUUUGAGUGUUAGAUUUGCUUGAGGAAAGGACGCCCGUGAGGAAGACAGCUGGUACAGGGGUAUCUACAGAUACAGGAAGAGAGAGAAAACACAAGAGGAUCAGAUGGGGUCUGCCACCCUCCUCAUCUGAGCCCUUGAAGAGAGAGAAGCUGAGGGGGUGGUUUCCCUGUGGGGCUCUGCUUCCAAGCCAGGUGACAAAGUGGCAGGCCGAGUGAGGGAAGGGCAUUUCUCUGUCUCUGCCGUGGUGGGACUGAAAAGAACACUAUGUCACAUUGUCAGCACAUGGGUUUUAGGGCUGUGAGGAUGCCAGAAAACAUGACUGUGGGCAAGGGAUCUAGAAGUGUUCAUAGAUCCAUACAGUAGGCUCCUGGGGCUGCCCAGGUUUGGCUGGGGAGGCUGGAGGUCUUAUGGUCCGUGCUGUUGGUGAGGUGGCCUCAUCUGCUCACACGUGUGGGUGAACCUGAGGAACUUGGGACCAUAAAGCUCAGCUCAAGUUGAACAUCCAGAUGAAUAUUACCUUUUAUGGAUUCGAAUGUUCUUUCCUUCUCCUGAUGAAGUAUCAAGCAUCUUUCAAAGAAGACUUACAAUAACAGAAAUAUAAACUUAUUCAAGACUUGGGUGAAGAAGACUGUGUUUUAAUGACUCAAAAAAGUAGAGAAAAACUCAGGGAACUACAUUUCACUUGGGGAGUGGAUUGUUUCUUCUGUUUUGCUCAAAUCAGUUCUAAUGCACCCUAGUGGGCAUGAAUGAGCUGGAAGGGUUCUCCAAAUUUGAUUUAGGUGCAUCAAGCAAUUAACAGGCUUCAACAUACAGACCUCAAAAUACACACUGUAAGAUGUUGUCAGGGAGACCUCUUGUCAACCUUCCCAUCACGACUUUGCUUCCUUUUCCUGUCUGAACCUGGGAUCUAAGGUCCAUGGCUCCAACCACUCUCUGCCUUCAGUGUUCUCCAUGUCCUUCAUGCUUUGCCUUUCCACAAAUCCUGCUCAGCAAACCCCACUCUUAGAACAACUGGAUGGUCCAUCAUUUCUGUGCUGGUAUCUGCACUGAUGAGUGCUGCCUGGGCCCAUACCCCUCUUCCCCCGGAAAGAUGCUCUAGGCAUUUAUUUUGUAUGUUCAACACUGCCCUCUCCACUGGCUCCUUCUCCAAAGCCUACAAACAUGUUCAACACUCUCCAUUUUUGAGAAGACAGUCAACUUUCCCUUAGCUAUAGUCUAUAUAGCUCCCUCCUUUAAUACUUAAGCCCAGGGGAAAAUCAGUCUAUAUUUCAUCUCCCUGUCUUCAACCAGAGCAAUCCACUGUCCUGACCCAUCUCCCUGGAACCUGCCGUGCACUCCACAGAACCCAGCACUCCACGGAGCCCACCCUGCUGAAACAAAGGUUAUUCAUUCAUAUUAUAAAUUCAACUGAAUUUUUCUUUGGGACACAUUUUACUUUCUCUUUCUGAGGUAUCUGACUCUGCUGACUACCCCUUCUAUACCCAUUUUUUAAAAAUUUGAAAUUUCCCCUUGCUUUAUACACAUAUUUUAGUCUGACUUCCACGACACUGCCUUCUCCUAAAAUGUCUUCUGUCUCUUGAUUCUGGGCAAAGCUUCCCUCAUCUUUUCUGAUUCAAGUAUCAUUUCCCAGUGAAUCCUUUCUUGGUCCUCCCAGAUAAAAAUAGCCACUCCCUCCUUCCUAUUAUUUAGCAGAGACUUUCUUACAGUCCCCAUAGCACAUCAUUGACUGUGUCCACAAGCCUCUCAAAGGAGGCAACUGGAGAUUGCUUGUGUUAUGUAAAUAUUCUCAAGUGCACAAAAGCCAAAAUGUGUCCAAGUGAAACAAAGUGCAUCUCAAGGCUGGCUUCAUCCUAGAGGUGGCUCAUUUGCAAGCCUGAUUUAGAAGAACAUCCAAGCAACAGUUGGGAAUAGACCCAGUGCCCUUUCAAGAGUGGAGCCUAGGAAUCCCAAAGAUUGCUUCAGAGUUGCUAACUAUUUUUCUGGCUGGUUCUGUGAGCAGAAGACUUAAAGGGUAGCAGUUCCUGAAGUAUGCCAUGAGAAAAGGAGAGUACCAAGUAUAUAAACAAAUGUAACUUUUUAAAAAGGUGAUUGUAAUCAAAUAUUUUAGAAGACACUGGGCGAAACAAAUCAGCUAGGUCCAUAUACGGAGAAGGUAGCUGUAUGCGUCUUAACUCCACCUGCUUCCUGCACCAGUCUGACUUCAGACAAAAGGUUUGGAACUGAAUGAAUUACAGUAAGGCUCAGGUACAGUUUGCAGGUGAUUUUGAUGCUCUAGAUCUAGUUAUUUUGGAAAAACCUGUUAAAAAACAUGUAUUUGUGUCGCUCCAGUUCGAACUGGUUUGGUGUGUGUGUAGUUUGUUUACUAAGGGGGGAAAUGAGUUUUACUUUAUAGUUCAGUCAAAAUUAAUGGAUAAUGAGGAUAAUAAUUUGAGCAUAUUAAAUCCAUUUAUUUUCA